GCUUCGGUGGUGUAGUGGUAGUAGCACGCGUCCCCAAUAUGGAUGAAAGGCGGGUUUGAUCUCCACUUGAGGCG